rnacentral:tRNA from 1 species
GGAUCUGUAGCUCAGGGGUAUGAGCAGCGGUUUCCGGUACCGCGUGGCGGGGGUUCAAAUCCCUCCGGAUCCA